GAUGAACGCUGGCGGCGUGCCUAAUACAUGCAAGUCGAGCGAACGGACGAGAAGCUUGCUUCUCUGAUGUUAGCGGCGGACGGGUGAGUAACACGUGGAUAACCUACCUAUAAGACUGGGAUAACUUCGGGAAACCGGAGCUAAUACCGGAUAAUAUUUUGAACCGCAUGGUUCAAAAGUGAAAGACGGUCUUGCUGUCACUUAUAGAUGGAUCCGCGCUGCAUUAGCUAGUUGGUAAGGUAACGGCUUACCAAGGCAACGAUGCAUAGCCGACCUGAGAGGGUGAUCGGCCACACUGGAACUGAGACACGGUCCAGACUCCUACGGGAGGCAGCAGUAGGGAAUCUUCCGCAAUGGGCGAAAGCCUGACGGAGCAAUGCCGCGUGAGUGAUGAAGGUCUUCGGAUCGUAAAACUCUGUUAUUAGGGAAGAACAUAUGUGGAAGGAACUGUGCACAUCUUGACGGUACCUAAUCAGAAAGCAACGGCUAACUACGUG
rnacentral:rRNA from 1 species